rnacentral:ribozyme from 1 species
GUUCUUGAGCAAGGCUGCAAAUGGGUUUCGCGUGCUGCCCCCAACGUCGGUUGGGCGUGGAGCGACUUCGCUCCGCACUCGUUUGCCUGCCGAACCUGUCCCUGUAGGGCUGCGAGAGUCGGUGCCGG